rnacentral:rRNA from 1 species
AAUUGUUCGCAAUGGGCGCAAGCCUGACGACGCAACGCCGCGUGGAGGAUGAAGAUUUUCGGAUCGUAAACUCCUGUCGAGUGGGAGGAACAGUUCUGGGGUGAACAAUCCUGGAGCCUGACGGUACCACUAAAGGAAGCCCCGGCUAACUCCGUGCCAGCAGCCGCGGUCAUACGGAGGAUCCAAGCGUUAUCCGGAAUUACUGGGCGUAAAGAGUUGCGUAGGUGGCAUAGUAAGUAGAUAGUGAAAGCGUUCGGCUCAACCGAAUAUCCAUUAUCUAAACUGCUAAGCUCGAGGAUGAGAGAGGUUAUUGGAAUUCCCUGUGUAGGAGUGAAAUCCGUAGAUAUAGGGAGGAACACCGAUGGCGUAGGCAGAUAACUGGCUCAUUCCUGACACUAAGGCACGAAAGCGUGGGGAGCAAAC